UACGUAGGGGGCAAGCGUUGUCCGGAAUCAUUGGGCGUAAAGCGCGUGUAGGCGGCUUGGUAAGUCUGCUCUGAAAGCCCGGGGCUCAACCCCGGGAGGCGGGUGGAUACUGCCGAGCUCGAGUCCGGAAGAGGCGAGUGGAAUUCCUGGUGUAGCGGUGAAAUGCGCAGAUAUCAGGAAGAACACCCGUGGCGAAGGCGGCUCUCUGGGACGGUACUGACGCUGAGACGCGAAAGCGUGGGGAGCGAACAGG
rnacentral:rRNA from 1 species